AUGACCCUGCUGGAGUGCGGGGGGCACCUCCAGAACCCCAGGGGGUCCCUGCGCGUCCUCUGCCGAGGGUCCGGAUUCGAUUUUAGCAGUUUUGGCAUGGGCUGGUAUCGACCGAGGCCUGGAAAAGGGCUGGAGUACGUCGCAAGGAUCAGUGACACUGGAGGUUACACCGAGUACGCGCCAUUGGUCAAGGGCCGGGUCACAAUCUCCAGGGACAACGGGCAGAGCUCGGUGAUGCUGACCAUGAACAACCUCAAGGACGAGGAUUCCGCAACCUAUUUCUGUGUCAAAGCUCCUUGUGGUCGUGGUGCUGCUCCUGCUGAUUAUAUUGACGGUGCUCGUGAUGGCUCCGGGCAGCCGUGA